GACGAACGCUGGCGGCGUGCUUAACACAUGCAAGUCGAACGGAAAGGCCCUGCUUUUGUGGGGUGCUCGAGUGGCGAACGGGUGAGUAACACGUGAGUAACCUGUCCCUGACUUUGGGAUAACUUCAGGAAACUGGGGCUAAUACCGGAUAGGAGCUCCUGCUGCAUGGUGGGGGUUGGAAAGUUUCGGCGGUUGGGGCUGGACUCGCGGCUUAUCAGCUUGUUGGUGGGGUAGUGGCUUACCGAGGCUUUGACGGGUAGCCGGCCUGAGCGGGGGACCGGCCACAUUGGUACUGAGAGACGGCCCAGACGCCUACGGGAGGCAGCAGUGGAGAAUAUUACACAGUGGGCGGGAGCCUGAUGCAACGACGCCGCGUGCGGGAUGACGUCCUUCGAGUUAUGAACCGCUUUGGCCUGUAACGAGGCGUGAUUGACGGUAAUGGGUAAAAAAGCACCGGCUAACUACGUG
rnacentral:rRNA from 1 species